GCCUAUUGGGAUUACACCCUCAGGCGCAUCAACCAAAGUCCAAACUUAGUUGGCACAUAUGGAGUCUAUUUUAGAUUUCAUGAUCUUAAGCCAUCUGUCAGAGUCACUACUCAUGACUGCUUUCAAAUAGAUCAUGAGAUCAUCAUUCUCAAUGAUAUGGGAUGAGUUGUCAUUCUCAAUGAUAAAUCCAUACCUGAAUGGAACAUUACGCACUCUACUUGACCUUCGAAGAGGAGAUGUGUGUUAUAGCUGUGUUUCAACAAUGGAC
rnacentral:lncRNA from 1 species